CCCUUCUUAUUUAAUUCAGUAUGUGGUAAAGAAUCUGUGAAAAUGAGAGGGAGCAGCUCUUUAAAGCCACACUUCACAGCUGAGAGAAAAUAAUGGUUAAUAUAAAAUGUUUGACAUCUUCAAAAAAACAACAUGCAAACAUGGAACGCUUUCAUUCACAAAUCAUAAAUCAUAGUCUUUGAGGUAAAAACAAAGCACAGUGCAAUAGAAUUUGUAAGUUUUGUCCAGGCUUAGGAACAAAGGAAGUUGCAAAAGGAAGAUUCUUCAAUGAACACAUGAAGUUCAAGAAGUUGUAUCAUCAGUUGAAUUACUAAAAGAGAAUUACUUUCCCUGCUCAUGAAGUUGCUGUUUUCUGUCUUUCACAGAAAUACUGUACUGGCUUGGUCACACUGCAGAUGAUUAAAAAAAACAAUAACACCACAAGAAAAAACCUGGGUGAGGAGGAGGCAGAUGACACUUGCUGUUUGACAGUCAACUCUCGCUGUGCAACUAGGAAGGAAAAAAAAAAGGAAAAAAGUUAACAGCAUCAAUCCGUCAUCCUGGAAUAUGAAGAUGUGAGGUGGGACAUUUUCAGAAGACCUUAUUUCAUUCCAGGGAACGAUGCGUGAAUCUACUCACAGUGGAGACACUGCAAAUACAGUAUAGAGAAUAAUUCAAUCAGCUCACUGAAAAAUCUUGAUAAUACACUGCAAAACAAACUUAACCAUAUGAUAAAACGACUUCUCUGUCAUUGCAUGCAUUUGUAGUUCUGGUAAUUAAACUCUGAUGAGGAAGUUGCAUUAACCAGUAAAAAUACUGACCUUCGUGAGCACGAGCAUGGAUGAGUACACAUAGUGCUGAGCGUUCAAAGGACGAGCCCUACUUCUUCUAACCUGACUAUGUGCAAAACAACCUCAUUUCAUCACUGAAUUGGUCUGGAUUUCUUUGCUCUGUGCUAAUCCCAGCCUGAAAUUUAGAACACAACAGUCUCUGAACUGAGGCCAAGCGUGAUUCUAGCGAUUAGCUGAUAAAUUAGGAAAAUACUCAGCCUAUUAGAAUGAGUACACACAAAAAUAUAAUGGAAUGAAAUCAUUUGUUUAACACUGAUUAAAACAGCAAAGGGGCACAAAGGUUUGUACUCUGAAGCACAUUACCUGACAGCUCAUACAAUCUGUCAGAGAAUGAAGAGUAACUCAGUUUUAGCGACAGCACUCCUAACAUUAUGACUACUAAAAAAAUGGCCACUGUAAACACUUACCCCAAAGCAAGGUUUUACAUUACUAAACAGGCAUUUACAAAGGAAAGAUGUUUAAUUUUUCUUCAUUCUCUGCCGUGACAAAACAUAUCGGUCUCAUUUACCUCCACAGCUGAACCAUGUCUGUUCCUCUGAACACUACAGAAUGGCUACAGAAGUCUGCUGCAGGAAAAAGAGUUAAGUGAACAACUUCAUAAGAGUGAUUUUUUUUUUCCUCUUAAAAUACAGUAGAAGUUUCCAAUACUUAGUGUUAUCACUUCCCAAAGAGUCUAAAUUCCCAAG
rnacentral:lncRNA from 1 species